AUUGAACGCUGGCGGCAGGCUUAACACAUGCAAGUCGAGCGGGGGAAGGUAGCUUGCUACCGGACCUAGCGGCGGACGGGUGAGUAAUGCUUAGGAAUCUGCCUAUUAGUGGGGGACAACAUCUCGAAAGGGAUGCUAAUACCGCAUACGUCCUACGGGAGAAAGCAGGGGAUCUUCGGACCUUGCGCUAAUAGAUGAGCCUAAGUCGGAUUAGCUAGUUGGUGGGGUAAAGGCCUACCAAGGCGACGAUCUGUAGCGGGUCUGAGAGGAUGAUCCGCCACACUGGGACUGAGACACGGCCCAGACUUCUACGGGAGGCAGCAGUGGGGAAUAUUGGACAAUGGGGGGAACCCUGAUCCAGCCAUGCCGCGUGUGUGAAGAAGGCCCUAUGGUUGUAAAGCACUUUAAACGAGGAGGAGGCUACUUUAGUUAAUACCUAGAGAUAGUGGACGUUACUCGCAGAAUAAGCACCGGCUAACUCUGUGCCAGCCGCCGCCGUAA
rnacentral:rRNA from 1 species